rnacentral:lncRNA from 1 species
UUGACAAUGUGGUACUACAGUAACCAUUUGCUAAUGAUGAAUUAAUUAGCUUUAAUAGAUUCGUCUCGCGAAUUAGACUCCAUCUGUGCAAUUAGUUUUAUAAUUAGCUCAUGUUUAGUCCUCCUAAUUAAUAUCCGAAUAUCCAAUGUGACCCUAUUAAAAUUUAGCACCUCGUAUCAAACCCCCUCUGCCCUCCUAGUCACACUCUCUCGGAUGCCAAACCAGAAUUAAGCGCGUAGCAAAAUAACCGCUGCGACGACCAUCCGGAUCC